AGGUAAGCUACUAAGAGCGAAUGGUGGAUGCCUUGACUGGUAAAGGCGAUGAAGGACGUACUAGACUGCGAUAAGCUACGGGGAGCUGUCAAGAAGCUUUGAUCCGUAGAUUUCCGAAUGGGGCAACCCAAUGUAUAGAGAUAUACAUUACCUAUAUAGGAGCGAACGAGGGGAAUUGAAACAUCUUAGUACCCUCAGGAAAAGAAAUCAAUAGAGAUUGCGUCAGUAGCGGCGAGCGAAAGCGCAAGAGGGCAAACCCAGUGCUUGCACUGGGGGUUGUAGGACUGCAAUGUGCAAGAGGUGAGUUUAGCAGAACAUUCUGGAAAGUAUAGCCAUAGAGGGUGAUAGUCCCGUAUGCGAAAAACAAACCUUAGCUAGCAGUAUCCUGAGUAGGGCGGGACACGAGAAAUCCUGUCUGAAGCUGGGUCGACCACGAUCCAACCCUAAAUACUAAUACCAGAUCGAUAGUGCACAAGUACCGUGAGGGAAAGGUGAAAAGAACUGAGGUGAUCAGAGUGAAAUAGAACCUGAAACCAUUUGCUUACAAUCAUUCAGAGCCCUAUGUAGCAAUACAGGGUGAUGGACUGCCUUUUGCAUAAUGAGCCUGCGAGUUGUGGUGUCUGGCAAGGUUAAGCAAACGCGAAGCCGUAGCGAAAGCGAGUCUGAAUAGGGCGCUUAGUCAGAUGCUGCAGACCCGAAACGAAGUGAUCUAUCCAUGAGCAAGUUGAAGCUAGUGUAAGAACUAGUGGAGGACUGAACCCAUAGGCGUUGAAAAGCCCCGGGAUGACUUGUGGAUAGGGGUGAAAGGCCAAUCAAACUUCGUGAUAGCUGGUUCUCUCCGAAAUAUAUUUAGGUAUAGCGUUGUGUCGUAAUAUAAGGGGGUAGAGCACUGAAUGGGCUAGGGCAUACACCAAUGUACCAAACCCUAUCAAACUCCGAAUACCUUAUAUGUAAUCACAGCAGUCAGGCGGCGAGUGAUAAAAUCCGUCGUCAAGAGGGAAACAACCCAGACUACCAGCUAAGGUCCCUAAAUCUUACUUAAGUGGAAAACGAUGUGAAGUUACUUAAACAACCAGGAGGUUGGCUUAGAAGCAGCCAUCCUUUAAAGAAAGCGUAAUAGCUCACUGGUCUAGUGAUUUUGCGCGGAAAAUAUAACGGGGCUAAAGUAAGUACCGAAGCUGUAGACUUGCGCACAACUUAGAUUAUUUAAGUUUAGAAUAUGAGAAACUAAGUUAUAUGUUUAGUUAUAUUUUUACUGAUUUUUAUAGAGUAAAGAUAGAAAUAAAACUUAGUAAAAUCAGUAAAAAUAUUCUUAGACUAAAGUUAAGUAGUUUAAGUUGUGUGCAAGUGGUAGGAGAGCGUUCUAUUUGCGUCGAAGGUAUACCGGUAAGGAGUGCUGGAGCGAAUAGAAGUGAGCAUGCAGGCAUGAGUAGCGAUAAUUAAUGUGAGAAUCAUUAACGCCGUAAACCCAAGGUUUCCUACGCGAUGCUCGUCAUCGUAGGGUUAGUCGGGUCCUAAGUCGAGUCCGAAAGGGGUAGACGAUGGCAAAUUGGUUAAUAUUCCAAUACCAACAUUAGUGUGCGAUGGAAGGACGCUUAGGGCUAAGGGGGCUAGCGGAUGGAAGUGCUAGUCUAAGGUCAUAGGAGGUUAUACAGGCAAAUCCGUAUAACAAUACUCCGAGAACUGAAAGGCUUUUUGAAGUCUUCGGAUGGAUAGAAGAACCCCUGAUGCCGUCGAGCCAAGAAAAGUUUCUAAGUUUAGCUAAUGUUGCCCGUACCGUAAACCGACACAGGUGGGUGGGAUGAGUAUUCUAAGGCGCGUGGAAGAACUCUCUUUAAGGAACUCUGCAAAAUAGCACCGUAUCUUCGGUAUAAGGUGUGGUUCGCUUCGUAUUAGGAUUUACUCCGAAAGCGAAGAAACUUACAACAAAGAGUCCCUCCCGACUGUUUACCAAAAACACAGCACUCUGCUAACUCGUAAGAGGAUGUAUAGGGUGUGACGCCUGCCCGGUGCUCGAAGGUUAAUUGAUGGGGUUAGCAUUAGCGAAGCUCUUGAUCGAAGCCCGAGUAAACGGCGGCCGUAACUAUAACGGUCCUAAGGUAGCGAAAUUCCUUGUCGGUUAAAUACCGACCUGCAUGAAUGGCGUAACGAGAUGGGAGCUGUCUCAAAGAGGGAUCCAGUGAAAUUGUAGUGGAGGUGAAAAUUCCUCCUACCCGCGGCAAGACGGAAAGACCCCGUGGACCUU
rnacentral:rRNA from 1 species